AUACAGAGGGUGCAAGCGUUAAUCGGAAUUACUGGGCGUAAAGCGCUCGUAGGCGGCUUGUAAAGUCGGAUGUGAAAGCCCCGGGCUCAACCUGGGAACUGCAUUCGAUACUGGCAAGCUAGGGUAUAGUAGAGGCAAGUGGAAUUCCGGGUGUAGCGGUGAAAUGCGUAGAUAUCCGGAGGAACAUCAGUGGCGAAGGCGACUUGCUGGACUAAUACUGACGCUGAGGAGCGAAAGCGUGGGGAGCAAACGGGAUUAGAAACCCCAGUAGUCC
rnacentral:rRNA from 1 species